ACCCCGAAAUUCGCCAAUAUUUUCCGAUUUACGAACGCGGCUAUCAAACUUGUCGAUAGACAGCAAAGUGAGUUGAACUUUUGCGAAAAAGGAAAAAAAGGCGAGGGCAGCUGGUUU
ensembl:snoRNA B0379.12 ncRNA